rnacentral:rRNA from 1 species
CCGCCAGAAUAUUACAGGUGAAAAACUUAAAACUCAAAGGACUUGGCGGUGUCCCAACCGACCUAGAGGAGCCUGUCCUAUAAUCGAUACCCCCCGUUUCACCCAACCUCUACUAGCACCCCCAGCCUAUAUACCGCCGUCGACAGUCUACCCCAUGAGGGCCCANUAGUANACAAAAUAGUUUAAUCACUAAAACGUCAGGUCAAGGUGUAGCAAAUGUUGAGGAAGCGAUUGGCUACAUUUUUUAUAAUAAAAAAACACGAAAUACAAUAUGAAACCCUGUAUGAAGGUGAAUUGAGCAGUAAAAU